AUGAGAAUUCUGAUAACCAAGCUUUUCAACCUCAUUUUUCGGGCAAACAAGAUGCCAGAAGAAUGGAGACGGAGUAUAUUAGUACCAAUCUUCAAGAACAAGGGGGAUGUUCAGAGUUGUACUAAUUACCGUGGAAUUAAGCUGAUGAGCCAUACAAUGAAGCUAUGGGAGAGAGUCAUUGAGCACCGCUUAAGAAGAAUGACAAGCGUGACCAAAAAUCAGUUUGGUUUCAUGCAUGGGAGGUCGACCAUGGAAGCCAUUUUCUUGGUACGACAAUUUAUAAAGAGACACAGGGAGCAAAAGAAGGACUUGCAUAUGGUGUUCAUUGACUUGGAGAAGGCCUAUGAUAAGAUACUGUGGAAUGUCAUGUGGUGGGCCUUGGAGAAACACAAAGUCCCAGCAAAGUACAUUACCCUCAUCAAGGACAUGUACGAUAAUGUUGUGACAAGUGUUCGAACAAGUGAUGUUCGACAUUGA
rnacentral:rRNA from 1 species